UCCGGGCGCCGUUCACCUCCUGAAAUAAACGCAACGUGCAAAUGCGCACCAUCCGCUUUCUGGGAUUGAUAACAAACACAGAAGGUCGCCUAACAGCCUUAAUCACUUCUGCCUGUGCCGUUUUCGGGCGAGGACACGCGGGGAACGAAGUUGAUCAUCCUUCGAACUUGCCGCAGUUCCGGGAUGUGCCCCCUUCUGGCGCAGCUUGUCCUCCCGCGGUUCGCCCUCCCCACACGCUGUUUGGGAAAUCUCGACACUUAAUUUAUAACUUUAUUAAUUUUUGUAUUCGGGAGGGCGGAGUCCCGUUCCGAAGCCAAGUUUAUGCAAAUAAGGACGGUCACUGAACGACCCCGGGGUUUGAAAUGCAAAGGGAAGGGGGCCACGCCCGGCGUCCGCCCAGGCAGCUGGAAUUCCCUGUUCUUUCUGAUCACUCGAAAAUGCAAUGGCUGCGCUCGCAGGUUAAAGAUACCUGCAGGUAUUUGUGGAUGUAGUAAUCAAGUCUCAAUUCCAGCUCUUCCGGGGACAUGAUUCCUAAAUAUCCAACCCCAGUGGUCUUUAUCUGGCCCAGCUGCUUCUGAUGUGGAGAGGAAUGUAGCACAUCAAGUGUGUGAACACUGCCUCCAUUGUAUCCAGACCAGCGAUGGAAGCCGGGAUAAUUGGCAUGUAACCUUCUCUAUUAACAGUGCAGACAGAUAUGUGAAUUCGCUGAAUCCCUUCGACAUAUGCCAUGCAUUAGCUAAAGGGGCUUAGAGUUCUCUUGACAUCUUGGUGAUUCACUGAUAAUUAGGCUUUCGGACUUGAUAACUUUGUGGGGAAAAUCAAUAAAUAAUAGUGAAGUUCAGUACUUCCUCUGAA